UACGAAGGGGGCUAGCGUUGUUCGGAAUUACUGGGCAUAAAGCGCGCGCAGGCGGUCUUCCAAGUCAGUGGUGAAAGCCCGGAGCUCAACUCCGGAACUGCCCUUGAAACUGUGAGACUUGAGGAUGAGAGAGGUGAGUGGAAUUCCCAGUGUAGAGGUGAAAUUCGUAGAUAUUGGGAAGAACACCGGUGGCGAAGGCGGCUCACUGGCUCAUUUCUGACGCUCAGGCGCGACAGCGUGGGGAUCAAACAGG
rnacentral:rRNA from 1 species